ensembl:lncRNA novel transcript
AUCAUUUUAAGCACCGUUCCAAAGAAAACAGGGAUCUUGCCAGAGGAAAAUAACAUAUACCAUAAAGGAAAAAGAAAUGUGCAUCAAGGCAAAUAAACAGCUCUCUACUAAGGGCCUAGGAUCUUGCUAGACGAGUCAUUUCUCUGGUUGAAAAGCAGUUGAGAAAGGCAAGACAAGGGGGGCGGGGGCCCAGCAGGGCACCUCUGAGCCCUUCCUGCUGCUCUUCAAAGACAGACGCAUUUUCCUUUCUACGGUCUCCUUGCAAGUCUUCUGUAGGCCCUGCCACCUUCAGGCUGACUGACUGCCUCCUUCAAAUAUCAGCAUUUGGGGCCCCAUGAAGGCAGGCAGCCCAGGGAGGAAUGACUGGACGGUGACAUUGUGCAGGGGGUCUGGAAGUUGCCAGCGCAGGGGUUAGCAGCUGCAGCCUGGCCUGGUCCUGUCUGCCUGGCUGUCAAACCCAGAAGACCGUGGUUUCUGGUGGCCUCUGUGUGACAGCGGAGGAGGUGGGGCGAGGCCUGGAAGUGAAGCAUCUCGUGAGCCACUUAAGUGUUUAUGAAGCUCGCUAAUGUGCUUAAAUG